UACGGAGGGUGCAAGCGUUUGUCCGGAUUUAUUGGGUUUAAAGGGUGCGUAGGCGGCUUUAUAAGUCAGCGUUGAAAUAUGGCAGCUUAACUGUCAGACUGGCAUUGAUACUGUAGAGCUUGAGUGAAGUCGAGGUUGGCGGAAUUGACGGUGUAGCGGUGAAAUGCAUAGAUAUCGUCAAGAACACCUAUUGCGAAGGCAGCUAACUAGACUUUAACUGACGCUGAGGCACGAAAGCGUGGGGAUCAAACAGG
rnacentral:rRNA from 1 species